UACGGAGGGUGCAAGCGUUGUUCGGAAUUAUUGGGCGUAAAGGGCGCGUAGGCGGUAAUGUAAGUCAGAUGUGAAAUACUCAGGCUCAACCAGAGAACAGCAUCUGAAACUGCAUAACUAGAGUACAGAAGAGGGAAACGGAAUUCCCGGUGUAGAGGUGAAAUUCGUAGAUAUCGGGAGGAACACCAGUGGCGAAGGCGGUUUCCUGGUCUGAUACUGACGCUGAGGCGCGAAAGCGUGGGGAGCAAACAGGAUUAGAUACCCUGGUAGUCCACGCUGUAAACGGUGAACACUAGGUGUGGGAGGUGUAAUACCUUCCGUGCCGUAGCUAACGCGUUAAGUGUUCCGCCUGGGAAGUACGGCCGCAAGGUUGAA
rnacentral:rRNA from 1 species